rnacentral:misc_RNA from 1 species
GUUGAAGCCCAGCCAUGGAAGCUCUCUGAAGGUGAAGUGUUGGGCGUACAAGAUUAAGAAUAAAGAAAAAUUAGUUUCAAGAACAAGAACUAAACCAAGAAAGCUGUAUAUGGAGGUUUCUUAUGCAGCUUUCUUGGUUGGAGGGAUAGUGGUUUGCUACUCUACGUUUAUAUAGAGAAGGGAAGAGACGGCUUUUAUGAC